UACAGAGGGUGCAAGCGUUAAUCGGAAUUACUGGGCGUAAAGGGCGUGUAGGUGGUUGUAUAAGUUGGCUGUGAAAGCCCCGGGCUUAACCUGGGAGGGUCAGCCAAGACUGUGCAACUAGAGUACGGUAGAGGGUAGUGGAAUUUCCGGUGUAGCGGUGAAAUGCGUAGAUAUCGGAAGGAACACCAGUGGCGAAGGCGACUACCUGGACUGAUACUGACACUGAGGCGCGAAAGCGUGGGUAGCGAACAGG
rnacentral:rRNA from 1 species